CUAUACUUCUCUUACUGCUCUCCAUGCGUAGAUUUUGAUAGAGAUCAAAGGAGAGGAGUAUUUACGACACCCCCCAUCAAUGAAAGCACCAUCGAGGAGCCGAGACAGGAAGAAGUACUAUCGGUUUCAUCGUGAUCACAGUCACGAUAUCGAACAGUGUAUCCAGCUCAGCAAUGAGAUAAAAACCCUGAUUCAAUGAGGCUAUCUUGAAAAAUUCUGACA
rnacentral:lncRNA from 1 species